UACGUAGGGUGCGGAGCGUUUGUCCGGAUUCACUGGGUUUAAAGGGAGCGUAGGAGGGCAGGUAAGUCAGUGGUGAAAUCCUGGGGCUUAACUCCAGACUGCCCGUUGAUACUAUUCUGUCUUGAAUACCGUGGAGUAUAGAGCGGAAUAUGUCAUGUAGCGGUGAAAUGCUUAGAGAUGAACAUAGAACACCAAUUGCGAAGGCAGCUCGUUACAACUG
rnacentral:rRNA from 1 species